rnacentral:rRNA from 1 species
GAUGAACGCUGGCGGCGUGCUUAACACAUGCAAGUCGAACGGAAAGGCUCCUGCUUGCAGGGGUACUCGAGUGGCGAACGGGUGAGUAACACGUGGGUGAUCUGCCCUGCACUUCGGGAUAAGCCUGGGAAACUGGGUCUAAUACCGGAUAGGACCACAUUUUGGAUGGUGUGGUGGAAAGUUUUUCGGUGUGGGAUGAGCUCGCGGCCUAUCAGCUUGUUGGUGGGGUAAUGGCCUACCAAGGCGUCGACGGGUAGCCGGCCUGAGAGGGUGUACGGCCACAUUGGGACUGAGAUACGGCCCAGACUCCUACGGGAGGCAGCAGUGGGGAAUAGUGCACAAUGGGUGCAAGCCUGAUGCAGCGACGCCGCGUGGGGGAUGACGGCCUUCGGGUUGUAAACUCCUUUCGCUAGGGACGAAGCGCAAGUGACGGUACCUGGAGAAGAAGCGCCGGCUAACUACGUG